UACGUAGGGGGCAAGCGUUAUCCGGAUUUACUGGGUGUAAAGGGCGUGCAGCCGGGAAGACAAGUCAGAUGUGAAAUCCCGCGGCUCAACCGCGGAACUGCAUUUGAAACUGUUUUUCUUGAGUAUCGGAGAGGUAAUCGGAAUUCCUAGUGUAGCGGUGAAAUGCGUAGAUAUUAGGAGGAACACCAGUGGCGGAGGCGGCUUACUGGACGGUAACUGACGCUGAGGCUCGAAAGCGUGGGGAGCAAACAGG
rnacentral:rRNA from 1 species